UUGUUGCUUCUUGCUAACACUAGUUGUAAUUUUUGCAUUUUUCUCGUGUACAUUUUGUAUGAAACAAUAAAUCAAUUGUCUGAUUUUUCUUCUUCCUGGUGCUAGUCUGAGGAUGAUGGCAUGGGUGGGAGGAGGAAGAAGGGCAUCAAGCAGAAGAUAAAGGAGAAGCUCCCUGGUGACCACGGUGACCAGCAGCAGACCGCUGGCACCUACGGCCAGCAGGGACACACCGGAAUGACCGGCACUGGGGCGCAUGGCACCACGGCCACUGGCGGCACCUACGGCCAGCAGGGACACGCCGGAAUGACCGGCACUGGGACGCACGGCACCGAUGGCACCGGCGAGAAGAAAGGCAUCAUGGACAAGAUCAAGGAGAAGCUUCCCGGACAGCACUGAGGCCCCCGCCCGCGGCCGCUACUUAUGAAAGUUUGAGGUGCCGGUCUGGCCACCUCUGCAGAAUAAUAGGAUGGAGAGAUACAGUUGAACUUCCCGAAAUAGAGUGAGCUACCUCACUUGUAAUAUCUGAGUUCUAAGUUUGGUGGACUUGAAUUUGGGUUGCUUGUAUGUAGCCGGGACGUUUUGUACUAUGUACUUUGAUGUGUAAAUUUUCUUUUGGUUGUACUGUGUGUGUAUGGGGAUGUAUAUCAUGGUAUAAUACAAUAUAUUUUUCCCUUUUACUUGAGCUUUCUUUGUUAUUGCAUUUUUCUAAAUUUUGUCAAUAUUGUACAUAGCAUUGGAAAAUGUUUAAGAGAGUUUGGAGCAUUCUAGGCUAUUUUUGAAAAUUUUGGAAGUAUCGAAAAAUAAGGCACACCAAAAAUACACAUAGAGAUCUUCAUUUUACUAACUCAGAGGAUGUCGCAUGCGCUGUGGAUCGUUGAUGAACGGCACUGUCGGAGAUCAACAAAACAGAGUGCAUAGCGACCAAAAAAAAAUUCCCCACCAACGAAAGUUUUCUUCUAUGCUCGAGCUCACAGGCACACUGAUGAAUAGUACUCCUUCCGUAAACUAAUAUAAGAGCGUUUAGAUCACUAAUUUAGUAAUCUAAACGCUCUUAUAUUAGUUUAGUGAUCUAAACGCUCUUGUAUUAGUUUACGGAGGGAGUAAAAUAUAAAAGAAAUUAAAAAAUUCUGAUUUUUUUUACACGCUGAUGAAUGUUUUACCUACAUGUAAAAACUCAUAAUGGAAUGAUAUUUCUGGAGGUCAGGGCAAUAAAAAUAAAAUCGAUGCUCUAAAAUUAGCCUUUUUGGAUCAUUUGAUUUUUUUACCAGACCCUAAUGAAAGUGAUUUCAUCACGAAAAAUUGCAUACAUGCAAAACAGUUAUCAAUGUUUAUUAAACACGACAAGAUUGUUUCAAUUUUUUAUUUUACUGUUCAUACGGAUGCAUAUAAGCUCGAGAUUAGAAGCUCCAUGUCCUUUUCAAAGACGGUGUGGCACCGUUGAAUACGGUCGCAUUGCGAUGCUUCCAUUCAAGAAUAACAACUGAUCCAGUAAUUCCCUAAAAUUAAGAUUAUGCAUCUCCAUAAUUUCAUCCACUAUACCUGACCCAUUGCUACUCGGAUGAAAAACACUAGCUGCAAAAAAAAGAUCAAUCUCCUCUCCUCUGCGUUGCAGCCAUCGAUCCAGUGUCGUGAGGUGGAGGGGGAUCCAUUCCUUUCUCGGUGGUGCUUGGUGUGUUAUCCCUGUUGUUCUUCAUGGGGUUGGUUAUGUGUGCCUACAUCGACGGGGUUCCAUGUGCAUCGGUGACUUCGACAACCUCUUACUUCGACCUUUUCCGAUGAUGAUAACACCCCCCCCCCCCCUUCCCGCUUAUAUGCUUAGCGUGGUUGCCAAUCUCUGUUGUACGCUUGCUAUUGCGGUGACGCAAAUGAGAUUUGUUUCUCUAUAGGCCUUUACUAGUAUUUCAGUGGUUCAAUUUCUCAAUGUUGUCCGUUGUCGUCGUGGCUAUGGUGAUGCAACAACGACAAACUCAGCCACGGCUUUGGCAAGAAUUUUGAGGCAUAUAGCCAUAUUCCAUAUCGUUACCAUAUAUAUGGUUGUAUCCAAUCAUGCAUUGAUUGAUCCAACGUAAAUUUAAUUUAAAUUCUGGCAAAACUGACACGUUAGUACCAUCCUUUAAUAAUGAAAAUAUGGUUGGCCUAUUUUCUUUCUUUUUCGUUUCAUGCCGACACUUCCGGCUUUCAUUUUCCGAAGCAAACAUGACAGACUUUUGCUAGAGGAAAGAACGUGUUUCAGGGACUGUAUCCCCCGUGUGUUGUCGCUUCUACCUCGAGAAUGUUAGAAGGGAGAGAGAGGUUUGGUGGAAUUGUUCGUUGUAUUGCUUGAGCCUCGUGGGCAUAUAUAUAUAUAUAUAGGAGUACAAAGACCAACUUGGAGUAUAGACAAGGCAGGACCAAAUCCUAGUCUAUCCUAUACUUCCUAAUAACCCUUAUACUCAANNNNNNNNNNNNNNNNNNNNNNNNNNNNNNNNNNNNNNNNNNNNNNNNNNNNNNNNNNNNNNNNNNNNNNNNNNNNNNNNNNNNNNNNNNNNNNNNNNNNNNNNNNNNNNNNNNNNNNNNNNNNNNNNNNNNNNNNNNNNNNNNNNNNNNNNNNNNNNNNNNNNNNNNNNNNNNNNNNNNNNNNNNNNNNNGUCGUAACGGUUGAUGCAUCGCGGGGUCGUGGCUGGAGUGAAAACCAACGAGAUUGCUCAAGCAAGGCGGUAGUCCUUUGUGUCAUUGUCGAGGUAGCCGAGAGCGUGGGUGGUGGUGCCGUGGUCGAGGUAGCCGUGCGAAGAAUGCCUUGGUCGAUGUCGAGUCGGGGUGGCCGGUGUCGAGGAAGUCGCCGUGGAGCCGUAGGCGCAAGGAGGCGUCGAGUUAGUCAUAGGCGCAGAAGUGUCGAAGUAGUGGUGCGCCGGGAAGAAGAUGUUGUUGACGACGCGUCGCGCCAGGGUUGCCAACCCCGGGGACACAUCGUAGACGAAGGCACGCGUCGGUGUUGCCAGCACCCGGCAUGCGUAGAUGGACGAAGACGAAGUUGACGAAGCGCCGCACCAGGCUUGCCAGGCCCGGGGACACUUAAGGAAAUAUGCCCUAGAGGCAAUAAUAAAGUUAUUAUUUAUUUCCUCAUAUCAUGAUAGAUGUUUAUUAUUCAUGCUAGAAUUGUAUUACCCGGAAACAUAAUAGAUGUGUGAAUACAUAGACAAACAUAGUGUCACUAGUAUGCCUCUACUUAACUAGCUCGUUGAUGAAAGAUGGUUGAGUUUCCUAGCCAUAGACAUGAGUUGUCAUUUGAUUAACGGUAUCACAUCAUUAGGAGAAUGAUGUGAUUAACCUGACCCAUUUCGUUAGCUUAGCACUUGAUCGUUUAGUUUACUGCUAUUGCUUUCUUCAUGACUUAUACAUGUUCCUAUGACUAUGAGAUUAUGCAACUCCCGAAUACCGGAGGAACACUUUGUGUGCUACCAAACGUCACAACGUAACUGGGUGAUUAUAAAGGUGCUCUACAGGUGUCUCCGAUGGUGUUUGUUGAGUUGGCAUAGAUCCAGAAUAGGAUUUGUCACUCCGAUUGUCGGAGAGGUAUAUCUGGGCCCUCUCGGUAAUGCACAUCACUAUACGCCUUGCAAGCAUUGUAACUAAUGAGUUAGUUGCGGGAUGAUGUAUUACGGAACGAGUAAAGAGACUUGCCGGUAACGAGAUUGAACUAGGUAUUGAGAUACCGACGAUCGAAUCUCGGGCAAGUAACAUACCCAUGACAAAGGGAACAACGUAUGUUGUUAUGCGGUUUGACCGAUAAAGAUCUUCGUAGAAUAUGUGGGAGCCAAUAUGAGCAUCCAGGUUCCGCUAUUGGUUAUCGGCCGGAGACGUGUCUCGGUCAUGUCUACAUAGUUCUCGAACCCGUAGGGUCCACACGCUUAAUGUUCGGUGACGAUCGGUAAUAUGAGUUUAUGUGUUUUGAUGUACCAAAGUUAGUUCGGAGUCCCGGAUGAAAUCUGGGACAUGACGAGGAGUCUCGAAAUGGUCGAGACAUAAAGAUCGAUAUAUUGGACGACUAUGUUCGGACACCGAAAGUGUUUCAGGAGGUUUCGGACAUAUACCGGAGUACCGAGGGGUUACCGGAACCCCCCGGGGAGUAUAUUGGGCGUAAGGGGCCCUAGUGGGAGAAGAGGAGGGGCGGCCAUGGCAGCCGCGCGGCCCCUCCCCCUCUAGUCCGAAUUGGACAAGGAGGGGGCGCCCCUUUCCUUCUCUCCUUCUCUCCCUUCCUUCUCCUCUCCUACUCCUACUUGGAAGGGGGGAGUCCUACUCCCGGUGGGAGUAGGACUCCUCAUGGGGCGCGCCAUAGGAGGCCGGCCCCCUCCCCCUCCUCCACUCCUUUAUAUACGGGGAGGGGGCACCCCUUUUGGAGACACAACAAUUGAUCAUUGAUCUCUUAGCCGUGUGCGGUGCCCCCCUCCACCAUAAUCCACCUCAGUAAUAUCAUAGCGGUCCUUAGGCGAAGCCCUGUGUUGGUAGCAUCAUCAUCACCGUCAUCACGCCGUCGUGCUGACGAAACUCUCCGGCGAAGCUCUACUGGAUCGUGAGUUCGCGGGACGUCUCCGAGCUGAACGUGUGCAGAACACGGAGGUGACGUACGUUCGGUACUGAGGAUCGGUCGAUCGUGAAGACGUACGACUACAUCAACUGCGUUGUCAUAACGCUUUCGCUUUCGGUCUACGAGGGUACGUGGACACACUCUCCCCUCUCGUUGCUAUGCAUCACCACGAUCUUGCGUGUGCUUAGGAUUUUUUUUGAAAUUACUACGUUCCCCAACAGUGGCAUCCGAGCCAGGUUUAUGGGUAGAUGUUAUAUGCACGAGUAGAACACAAGUGAGUUGUGGGCGAUACAAGUCAUACUGCUUACCAGCAUGUCAUACUUUGGUUCGGCGGUAUUGUUGGAUGAAGCGGCCCGGACCGACAUUAUGUGUACGCUUACGCAAGACUGGUUCUACCGACGUACUUUGCACACAGGUGGCUGGCGGGUGUCAGUUUCUCCAACUUUAGUUGAACCGAGUUUGACUACGCCCGGUCCUUGUUGAAGGUUAAAACAGCACUAACUUGACAAAAUAUCAUUAUGGUUUUGAUGCGUAGGUAAGAACGGUUCUUGCUCAGCCCGUAGCAGCCACGUAAAACUUGCAACAACAAAGUAGAGGACGUCUAACUUGUUUUUGCAGGGCAUAUUGUGAUGUGAUAUGGUCAAGGCAUGAUGCUAUAUUUUAUUGUAUGAGAUGAUCAUGUUUUGUAACGGAGUUAUCGGCAACUAGCAGGAGCCAUAUAGUUGUCGCUUUAUUGUAUGCAAUGCAAUUGCCCUGUAAUUGCUUUACUCUAUCACUAAGCGGUAGCACUAGUCGUAGAAGCAAUAGUUGGCGAGACGACAACGAUGCUACGAUGGAGAUCAAGGUGUCGCGCCGGUGAUGAUGGUGAUCAUAACGGUGCUUUGGAGGUGGAGAUCAAAGGCACAAGAUGAUGAUGGCCAUAUCAUAUCACUUAUAUUGAUUGCAUGUGAUGUUUAUCCUUUAUGCAUCUUAUUCUGCUUUGAUUGGCGUGAGCAUUAUAAGAUGAUCUCUCACUAAAUUUCAAGGUACAAGUGUUCUCCCUGAGUAUGCACCGUUGCCAAAGUUCGUCGUGCCGAGACACCACGUGAUGAUCGGGUGUGAUAAGCUCUACGUUCGCAUACAACGGGUGCAAGCCAGUUUUGCACACGCAGAAAUAGUCGGGUUAAACUUGACGAGCCUAGCAUAUGCAGAUAUGGCCUCGGAACACUGAGACCGAAAGGUCGAGCGUGAAUCAUAUAGUAGAUAUGAUCAACAUAGUGAUGUCACCAUUGAAAACUACUCCAUUUCACGUGAUGAUCGGACAUGGUUUAGUUGAUUUGGAUCACGUGAUCACUUAGAUGAUUAGAGGGAUGUCCAUCUAAGUGGGAGUUCUUAAGUAAUAUGAUUAAUUGAACUUUAAUUUAUCAUGAACUUAGUACCUGAUAGUAUUUUGCUUGUCUAUGUUGUUGUAGAUAGAUGGCCCAUGCUGUUGUUCUGUUGAAUUUUAUUGCUAUCCUUGAGAAAGCUAAGUUGAAAGAUGAUGGUAGCAAUUACACGGACUGGGUCCGUAACUUGAGGAUUAUCCUCAUUGCUGCACAGAAGAAUUACGUCCUGGAAGCACCGCUGGGUGCCAGGACUGCUGCAGAUGCUGCUGAUGACGUUAAGAACGUCUGGCAGAGUAAAGCUGAUGACUACUCGAUAGUUUAGUGUGCCAUGCUUUACGGCUUAGAACCGAGACUUCAACGACGUUUUGAACGUCAUGGAGCAUAUGAGAUGUUCCAGGAGUUGAAGUUAAUAUUUCAAGCAAAUGCCCGGAUUGAGAGAUAUGAAGUCUCCAAUAAGUUCUACAGCUGUAAGAUGGAAGAGAAUAGUUCUGUCAGUGAACAUAUACUCAAAAUGUCUGGGUAUAAUAAUCACUUGAUUCAACUGGGAGUUAAUCUUCCGGAUGAUAGUGUCAUUGACAGAAUUCUUCAAUCACUGCCACCAAGCUACAAGAGCUUUGUGAUGAACUAUAAUAUGCAAUGAAUGGAUAAGACAAUUCCCGAGCUCUUCGCGAUGCUAAAGGCUGCGGAGGUAGAAAUCAAGAAGGAGCAUCAAGUGUUGAUGGUCAACAAGACCACCAGUUUCAAGAAAAAGGGUAAAGGGAAGAAGAAGGGGAACUUCAAGAAGAACGGCAAACAAGUUGCUGCUCAGGAGAAGAAACCCAAGUCUGGACCUAAGCCUGAGACUGAGUGCUUCUACUGCAAAAAGACUGGUCACUAGAAGCGGAACUGCCCCAAGUAUUUGGCGGAUAAGAAGGAUGGCCAGGUGAACAAAGGUAUAUGUGAUAUACAUGUUAUUGAUGUGUACCUUACUAAAGCUCGCAGUAGCACCUGGGUAUUUGAUACUGGUUAUGUUGCUAAUAUUUGCAACUCGAAACAGGGACUACGGAUUAAGCGAAGAUUGGCUAAGGACGAGGUGACGAUGCGCGUGGGAAAUGGUUCCAAAGUCGAUGUGAUCGCCGUCGGCACGCUACCUCUACAUCUACCUUCGGGAUUAGUUUUAGACCUGAAUAAUUGUUAUUUGGUGCCAGCGUUGAGCAUGAACAUUAUAUCUGGAUCUUGUUUGAUGCGAGAUGGUUAUUCAUUUAAAUCUGAGAAUAAUGGUUGUUCUAUUUAUAUGAGUAAUAUCUUUUAUGGUCAUGCACCCAUGAAGAGUGGUCUAUUUUUGUUGAAUCUCGAUAGUAGUGAUACACAUAUUUAUAAUGUUGAAGCCAUAAGAUGCAGAGUUGAUAAUGAUAGUGCAACUUAUUUGUGGCACUGUCGUUUGGGUCAUAUUGGUGUAAAACGCAUGAAGAAACUCCAUACUGAUGGACUUUUGGAAUCACUUGAUUUUAAAUCACUUAGUACUUGCGAACCAUGCCUUGUGGGCAAGAUGACUAAAACGCCGUUCUCUGGAACAAUGGAGCCAGCAACAGAUUUGUUGGAAAUCAUACAUACUGGUGUAUGUGGUCCGAUGAAUAUUGAGGCUCGCGGCGGGUAUCGUUAUUUUCUCACCUUCACAGAUGAUUUGAGCAGAUAUGGGUAUAUCUACUUAACGAAACAUAAGUCUGAAACAUUUGAAAAGUUCAAAGAAUUUCAGAGUAAAGUGGAAAAUCAUCGUAACAAGAAAAUAAAGUUUUUACGAUCUAAUCGUGGAGGAGAAUAUUUGAGUUACGAGUUUGGUCUUCAUUUGAAACAACGCGGAAUAGUUUCACAACUCACGCCACCCGGAACACCACAACGUAAUGGUGUGUCCAAACGUCGUAAUCGUACUUUACUAGAUAUGGUGCGAUCUAUGAUGUCUCUUACUGAUUUACCGCUAUCGUUUUGGGGUUAUGCUUUAGAGACGGCUGCAUUCACGUUAAAUAGGGCACCAUCGAAAUCCGUUGAGAGGACGCCUUAUGAACUGUGGUUUGGCAAGAAACCAAAGUUGUCGUUUCUUAAAGUUUGGGGCUGUGAUGCUUAUGUGAAAAAGCUUCAACCUGGUAAGCUCGAACCCAAAUCGGAGAAAUGUGUCUUCAUAGGAUACCCAAAGGAAACUGUUGGGUACACCUUCUAUCCUUUCUAGAGAAGGAUUUUCUCUUGAAAGAAGUGAGUGGGAGGAAAGUAGAACUUGAUGAGGUAACUGUACCUGCUCCCUUAUUUGGAAGUAGUUCAUCACAGAAACCGGUUUCUGUGACACCUACACCAAUUAGUGAGGAAGCUAAUGAUAUUGAUCAUGUAACUUCAGAUCAAGUUACUACCAAACCUCGUAGUACAAUCAUAGUAAGAUCCACACCAGAAUGGUACGGUAAUCCUAUUCUGGAAGUCAUGUUACUUGACCAUGGCGAACCUACGAACUCUAAAGAAGCGAUGGUGAGCCCAGAUUCCGCAAAAUGGCUUGAGGCCCUGAAAUCUCAGAUGGGAUCCAUGUAUGAGAACAAAGUGUGGACUCUGGUUGACUUGCCCGAUGAUCGGCAAGCCAUAGAGAAUAAAUGGAUUUUCAAGAAGAAGACUGACGCUGAUGGUAAUGUUACUGUCUACAAAGCUCGACUUGUUGCAAAAGGUUUUCGACAAGUUCAAGGGGUUGACUACGAUGAGCUUUCUCAGCCGUAGCGAUGCUUAAGUCUGUCCGAAUCAUGUUAGCAAUUGCCGCAUUUUAUGAUUAUGAAAUUUGGCAAAUGGAUGUCAAAACUGCAUUCCUGAAUGGAUUUCUGGAAGAAGAGCUGUAUAUGAUGCAACCAGAAGGUUUUGUUGAUCCAAAGGGUGCUAACAAAGUGUGCAAGCUCCAGCGAUCCAUUUAUGGACUGGUGCAAGCCUCUCGGAGUUGGAAUAAACGUUUUGAUAGUGUGAUCAAAGCAUAUGGUUUUAUACAGACUUUUGGAGAAGCCUGUAUUUACAAGAAAGUGAGUGGGAGCUCUAUAGCAUUUCUAAUAUUAUAUGUGGAUGACAUAUUGUUGAUUGGAAAUGAUAUAGAAUUUCUGGAUAGCAUAAAAGGAUACUUGAAUAAGAGUUUUUCAAAGAAAGACCUUGGUGAAGCUGCUUAUAUAUUGGGCAUCAAGAUCUAUAGAGAUAGAUCAAGACGCUUAAUUAGACUUUCACAAAGCACAUAUCUUGAUAAAGUUUUGAAAACGUUCAAAAUGGAUCAAGCAAAGAAAGGGUUCUUGCCUGUGUUACAAGGUGUUAAGUUAAGUCAGACUCAAUGCCCGACCACUGCAGAAGAUAGAGAGAAAAUGAAAAGUGUUCCCUAUGCUUCAGCCAUAGGCUUUAUCAUGUAUGCAAUGCUGUGUACCAGACCUGAUGUGAGCCUUGCUAUUAGUUUAGCAGGGAGCUACCAAAGUAAUCCAUGAGUGGAUCACUGGACAGCGGUCAAGAACGUCCUGAAAUACCUGAAAAGGACUAAGGAUAUGUUUCUCGUUUAUGGAGGUGACAAAGAGCUCGUCGUAAAUGGUUACGUCGAUGCAAGCUUUGGCACUGAUCCGGACGAUUCUUAAUCGCAAACCGGAUACAUGUUUUUAUUGAACGGUGGAGCUGUCAGUUGGUGCAGUUCUAAACAAAGUGUCGUGGCGGGAUCUACUUGUGAAGCAGAGUACAUAGCUGCUUCGGAAGCAGCAAAUGAAGGAGUCUGGAUGAAGGAGUUCAUAUCCGAUCUAGGUGUCAUACCUAGUGCAUUGGGUCCAAUGAAAAUAUUUUUGCGACAAUACUGGUGCAAUUGCCUUGGCAAAGGAAUCCAGAUUUCACAAGAGAACCAAGCACAUCAAGAGACGCUUCAAUUCCAUCCGAGAUCCAGUCCCGGUGGGAGACAUAGAGAUUUGCAAGAUACAUACAGAUCUGAAUGUUGCAGACCCUGAUUAAGCCUCUUCCACGAGCAAAACAUGAUCAGCACCAAGACUCCAUGGGUGUUAGAAUCAUUACUGUGUAAUCUAGAUUAUUGACUCUAGUGCAAGUGGGAGACUGAAGGAAAUAUGCCCUAGAGGCAAUAAUAAAUUUAUUAUUUAUUUCCUCAUAUCAUGAUAAAUGUUUAUUAUUCAUGCUAGAAUUGUAUUAACCGGAAACAUAAUACAUGUGUGAAUACACAGACAAACAUAGUGUCACUAGUAUGCCUCUACUUAACUAGCUCGUUGAUCAAAGAUGGUUGAGUUUCCUAGCCAUAGACAUGAGUUAUCAUUUGAUUAACGGGAUCACAUCAUUAGGAGAAUGAUGUGAUUGACUUGACCCAUUUCGUUAGCUUAGCACUUGAUCGUUUCGUUUACUGCUAUUGCUUUCUCCAUGACUUAUACAUGUUCCUAUGACUAUGAGAUUAUGCAACUCCCGAAUACCGGCGGAACACAUUGUGUGCUACCAGACGUCACAAAGUAACUGGGUGAUUAUAAAGGUGCUCUACAGGUGUCUCCGAUGAUGUUUGUUGAGUUGGCAUAGAUCAAGAAUAGGAUUUGUCACUCCGAUUGUUGGAGAGGUAUCUCUGGGCCCUCUCAGUAAUGCACAUCACUAGAAGUCUUGCAAGCAAUGUGACUAAUGAGUUAGUCACGGGAUGAUGUUGCACUACGGAACGAGUAAAGAGACUUGCCGGUAACGAGAUUGAGCUGGGUAUUGAGAUACCGACGAUCGAAUCUCGGGCAAGUAACAUACCGAUGACAAAGGGAACAAUGUAUGUUGUUAUGCGGUUUGACCGAUAAAGAUCUUCGUAGAAUAUGUAGGAACCAAUAAGAGCAUCCAGGUUCCACUAUUGGUUAUUGACCGAAGACAUGUCUCGGUCAUGUCUACAUAGUUCUCGAACCCGUAGGGCCUGAACGCUUAAUGUUCGGUGACGAUCGGUAUUAUAAGUUUAUGUGUUUUGAUGUACCGAAGGUAGUUCGGAGUCCCGGAUAUGAUCACGGACAUGACGAGGAGUCUCGAAAUGGUCGAGACGUAAAUACCGAUAUAUUGGACGACUAUGUUCGGACACCGGAAGUGUUUCCGGAGGUUUCGGACAUAUACGGGAGUACCGGGGGGUUACCGAAACCCCCCGGGGAGUAUAUUGGGCGUAAUGGGCCCUAGUGGGAGAAGAGGAGGGGCGGCCAGGGCAGCCGCGCGCUCCCUCCCCCUCUAGUCCGAAUUGGACAAGGAGGGGGGCGCCCCCUUUCCUUCUCUCCUUCUCUCCCUUCCUUCUCCUCUCCUACUCCUACUUGGAUGGACCGGGAGUAGGACUCCUCAUGGGGCGCGCCAUAGGAGGCCGGCCCCCUCCCCCUCCUCCACUCCUUUAUAUACGGGGAGGGGGCACCCCUUGGAGACACAACAAUUGAUCAUUGAUCUCUUAGCCGUGUGCGGUGCCCCCCUCCACCAUAAUCCACCUCGGUAAUAUCGUAGCGGUGCUUAGGCGAAGCCCUGCGUCGGUAGCAUCAUCAUCACCGUCAUCACGUCGUCGUGCUGACGAAACUCUCCGACAAAGCUCUACUGGAUCGUGAGUUCGCGGGACGUCUCUGAGCUGAACGUGUGCAGAACACGGAGGUGUCGUACGUUCGAUACUGAGGAUCGGUCGAUCGUGAAGACGUACGACUACAUCAACCGCGUUGCCAUAACGCUUCCACUUUCGGUCUACGAGGGUACGUGGACACACUCUCCCCUCUCGUUGCUAUGCAUCACCAUGAUCUUGCAUGUGCGUAGGAAAUUUUUUGAAAUUACUACGUUCCCCAACAGACACGUCGUGGAUGAAGGCAGGCGGCGGUGUUGCCAGCAUCGGGCAUGCGUAGACUGGGACCUGCACGAGCUGUACGCGAUGUCGAAGAAGUCGAAGAGGCCAGCAGAGAAGGACUCGACGACGGUUGCGGCGCCAAUCAGCACGGGGCCGAUGUCGCCCGCGGUUGUCGGAGUAGACGAAGUGGUCGGGGUAGAUGACGGCGACGCUGGCGACGGGCUGGUGCUGGACGAAGAGUAAGGGGGUGGACGGGCGACUGCGGCGGCUACAGGGAUAGCAGCGGCGGCGACGGCUAGGUUAGGAGCGCGGCGGCGGUGCUCGAAGUAGGCGAAGAACCCUGACAACGUGACGAAGACCGGCGGGGACGGUGGCAUUCCCGCGCCAAGGGAGACGGUGCGGCGCAUACCAAGGGAGGUAGACACGCGGUGACGGUGGAGUGGACCGCGGGCUGCGGCGCUACGGACCGAAGGGGCGAUGCAACGGCGGCGGGCAGGUUGGGGCGACGGCACGAAGACCUCGGGGCGGCGGCGGGGACCGCGGGCCGCGGCGCUACGAGCCGAAGGGACGGUGCAGCGGCGGAGCGUGGGUCGGUGCAAUCGCGGGGACGGCGGCUGGGACCGUGUAUCGCGGCACUACGGCCCGUAGGGGCGACGUAGCGGCGACGCACGAGUCAAUGCAGCCGCGAGGAGAACCACGGGGCGGCGGCGCUGCGGCCCGACGGGGCGACGCAGCGGCAGCCUGUUGCUCGAUCGGCGGAGGGGCGCGCUGAACUCGGGGACAAUCUUCACGGGACCUGCGGAGGCGCGCGCAACUAACGGGUCAGGUUGGUCACGCGGCGUAGAUGAGGCGGAUCGCGGCGGCGAGCGGGUGAUCAAGUUAGUCGCGCGCGAGGUCGGGGACGCCGCUCGAUGGAGGCGUAGUGGCGGCGGAGUCCGGGAUGAGGCCGGCGACGACGGACGGCGUGGGACGUCGUGCGAACGAGUGUGUCGGCACCGGCACCCGGGCAGCCAAAGCAGCGCCGGCGCCCAGGCAGCGAGCCCCGAGCGACCAAUGGUGCAGCGGCGCACGAGUUGAGGCAUCCGACGAGCGUGACGCAGCCGUCCCGACGCAGCCGAAGACGAGGCCGGCGAGGUAGACCGCCGGGCCGCCGUGCAGACGCGGCGGAGGCGGGUGGCGUCGAUCGAUUGGCGGGCCGGCGCGCGAGCGGCGGCUAUGAUUGGCCGUCGCGUGGCGCGAGGCCGCCGGGUGAAGGCGAUGCAGGUGUCCCGGUCGGAGAGGGCGCAAACGGUCGGCGUAGAUUGACGGGCGGGCCAGCGCGUAGACGACGACAGUGAGGGGCCGCCUGUCGCGCGAGGCCGCGGGGUCGGUGAAGGAGCCGGCCGGUCGCGACAGUGUCAGAGUAGAAGCGCAUGGAGGUCGACGGCGGCGGCGGGCGACGCAAACCGGUCAAGUAGAUCGGAAAACCAAAAGGAAAAACGCCGAUCAAAACGACCGGCGAGAGAGCGAAAAAACCCGGAGCAAGGGUUCGGGAAAAAGACUCUUUAGGGCAGCCAGCCAACACGGCCGGCGUACGAACCCUAGGUACGGGCGGCGCGGCCUCCGGCGGCGGUCAUGGCGGCCGACCGCCCCGGAGGCGGCGUGCGGGUGCGGAAGCGGCAGCGGCUAGGUUUUGAAUCAUGAUUAGGCUGAUACCAUGUUAGAACGGAAAGAAGUUUGAUGGAAUUGCUCGUUGUAUUGCUUGAGCCUCGUGGGAGCCAAAUACUAGUCUAUACUCAAUAGAGAACAAGUUGAGUCCGUGGCAACCCGGACGCGUCCAGUAGCUGCACACGUCCGGCCUCCCUUUAUGGGCGAGUCACCACCGGCUCCCGCCGGCCAGCCCACUCAUGCCUGCACACGUAGCGCCCCCGACGAUCCUAUCCCCUCGCCGCAGACGGCUUAUAAAUCGCACCUCGUACUGCACCUGCUUCCACAACCACAAGUUGCAGCCAAGUGAGCAAGACAACACACCAGAUUUCUGAGACAAUCAAGAUCAGCACCUGUGCAAGAUGGAGUACCAGGGACAGCAGCAGCACGGUCAGGCGACUAACCGCGUCGACGAGUACGGUAACCCGGUGGCCGGACAUGGCGUCGGCACCGGCAUGGGCGCGCACGGCGGCGUCGGCACCGGCGCGGCCGCUGGUGGGCAGUUCCAGCCCUCGAGGGAGGAGCACAAGGCCGGAGGGAUCCUGCAGCGCUCCGGCAGCUCUAGUAGCUCCAGCUCGGUGCGUGUUUACGUACUUCUUUCUACUCCGUAAUUAAACUACGUUUCCAUAGUUGCAUGCGUGAAGAUUAUGCAUGAAGAAGCAUUAAUGACUGAUUUUUUUCCCGUUCGUGGUGAUAGUCUGAGGAUGAUGGCAUGGGCGGGAGGAGGAAGAAGGGCAUCAAGGAUAAGAUUAAGGAGAAGCUUCCGGGUAGCCACGGCGACCAGCAGCAGACCGCUGGCACCUACGGGCAGCAAGGUCAUACUGGAACGGCCGGCACCGGCGGCAACUACGGCCAGCCCGGACACACCGGAAUGGCUGGCACCGACGGCACCGGUGAGAAGAAGGGCAUCAUGGACAAGAUCAAGGAGAAGCUGCCCGGACAGCACUGAGCCCCGCCCGCGGCCGCUACUUGUGAAAGUCUGGCCACCUCUGCAGAAUAAUAAGAUGGAGAUACAAUAAAACUUCCCGAAAUAAAGUGAGUUUUAGCUCACUUAUAAUGUCUGAGUUCCGAGUUUUGUGGACUUAAAUAUAGGGGUUUCUUGUAUGUACCGGGAAGUUUCCUACUCUGUACUUUUGACGUGUGAAUUUUCUUUUG
rnacentral:lncRNA from 1 species